AACUUCCCUGAAAAGUUCCAUAUCACGGGGGCUAUUCGAUGCUAAUGCAGUACGUGUAAGGAAUUGCUAUUUCGUAUGCAGGUGACUAAUUUACUGCUAAUUACAUGGCUACAACUCACAGUAAAGCCUGUGGGGUCCCCUACAGGAUAGCUCCCACAUUACACACAAUCUCCUUUUAAUUUUAACCGAACACUGUGUGCCCGAAGAAGAUCCUACGAUGAUGGACAGACAACUGAGCCAAUGGCGGAAGACUACAGACUACAACCAGCUGAACCAAUCCGGAGAUCCGAUCUUCCUAGGGUCAACCUACUUUCUGUGACGUAUAUAAGAGCUGUGCGGACUGUUUACGCUCUCUGCCUGCUGUUCCAACACGAACUAACGGAAGAGCCGUAUUUACGUGUACCAGAUAUUUUCACUCUGAAUAAACUGUUUACUUGUCAUAAAAUUUACCACUUAGUCUGAAUCGAUCCUUGACCGGCUCACCCAUCUACAUAUCCAAUUGCUAACAGAAAUGGUAGCAGAGGAUGGUUAACUAACGGUCCAGUCGAAGCGGGCAGAUUGGAUGUGAGAGAGGGGUGAGCGCGUGGAGAGGGAGAUUCGAGAAGGACGGGUGAUUUGAUUCUCGGGGGGUGGACAACAAUUCUACUCAACUCGGGAAACUGAUCUAAAGGUGCACCAUAAAUAAGGAUUGUAUGCAUUACAGGUGAACUACAGGUGAAGUCACUCAAUCCAGUCCCAGAGGCUUGGGGACCAUAGAAGACCCCUGGUGACAGCUAGCUGAAAGAGCUACCCAGAUUCAUAUCGCACGGCGGAAGGGUAAGACAUUUUUUCACUGUCGGACAAUAAACAGAGUUCGGGAGAAGAACUGGAAUUAACAGAAUUCGGGGCCAACUCUCGAAUGAAGUAACCCUACCUGUCCUAUCACCCCUGUUUUUGUUCAUAGAAGUGAAGAUGUGUCUGGCUCUGGCUAAGUGAUGUGUAUUUUGUUCCAAAAUAAGCAUAAGAAUCCCUAGAUCUGGGUAGACAAGAAGUUAGAGUAGAGAUUACAUGAUAACCGACUUCGGACAGUUCUAGGAUUGGAGAAGAGGGUAUCCUUAUAGCAUGGAGGAUCCCACAAGGGUGGAUAGGUUUUCCAUGAUAUGGGGAAACCUGGGAGCAAUGUUGAACUUUGUAAAGGUGAUGAAAUCCUACUAACCAUCAAAACUAUUAAGCUCUCUGAUGCAGGCACUCACACCCUCGGACUACAAAGGACGAGGACAGACAUGAUGGGUGUGUUUUCUAUCAAGGUACUGCCAAGACCAGAGGUAACCGGACACACUCCUCUACCACCACUGUGUUAAAAAUACCAUUCAGGUAAUUAAUGUUAGAGUCUAUUCGGCUAUUGAUCAAUUAGAAACUGAGACUGGUUUUGAUAGUAGGGACAAUUUGUGGCUGUCUUAUAUGAGGUACACAGCUAAAACCCUGAGAGGAAAGGACUGUAUUAUUUGAAGUUAUGCUAGACCUGUUCUGGCUACACCCAUUUGCUGUAAGGAGAAGGAGAGGGGUGGUUGUGUAUUUUGAGAAGUUUUUACCAGGUUAAGCCCAAUUCAACCCUCUGUUCCUCUUUGAGCCUUGUGUUUCCUGCAGUACCUCCUCAUCGGGCCUCUUGGGGUGUUGAGGCAUAUGGGGGCAAUUACGAGUGCAUCACGGGUACAGGUAAUGGCAUUGAUUAUGGGAGAUUGCCUGAAGCUGAUUGCAGGAGUAACAUAACCAUUAAUUCCACUUGGCCAGUUACAGGCCUAAACCAAACUAGUGGUCUGGCUGAUGUAUGUUGGACCAGUGGAGCCAAAAGAGGGCUGAGACCCAUUCUUAGAGGAGAAUGGCAAGGUACGUGUGGUCUGACCAGUUUGAUAAUUCCACUGACCAUUGUUGAUGUUGUUGCUGAACAGCUGCUGAGUUCUGUAACCAGGGGACCUGAAAACAUUCCAUCCCAUGGGAGACAGAUGUAGUAGUGCUCCAUGGACAGAGGAUGUAGUUGACAUACACACUAACCUGUUGGGAGUGUCAGUGGGGAUUCCUCAUGAGUUUCAGGCCUUGGGUAGGAAUGAUGGACUCUGGCACUUACUACCUACUAUGGGUCCAGCCAUGGUGGAUGCUGGACAGACUGCAUGGAUUAAUUAUAUCUACUAUGAUCAACAGCGUUUUGUGAAUUACUCCCGUGAUGCACUCACUAGUAUGUCUGAACAGCUUGAGGCCACAUUUGGGGUUUCCAGACAGAAUAGACUUGCCUUGGAUAUGCUUCUUGCCAGUCAGGGGGACGUCUGCAAGAUGUUCGGUAAACAAUGUUGCACGUAUAUAUUCCUAAUACCAGUCCAGAUGAUAGUUUUUAAACUUCACAAUCUAAGGCGGGGUUGAUGCACUAUCUGCUAAGAUGAGGUCCACGGGGGGGGGUGGAGGAGUCUGUUCUCUUGGCCUGGUUUGGUAAGUGCACUGGUAGGAUGGUUACUGGAUUUCUGACCCUAAUUCUUGUAUUAUUUGUUAUUGAUGUGAUGUGCUGCUCGCAUCAUACUGUGUUUUGACAAGUCUGUUACAGAUGUGGUGAGGGCUUCAGGCAUGAUGCCUUUGCUUGAUGCUCCAGUUGGCGAUGCCGAUACGGAAGCAUGCUUUCAGGGGAGGAUGAGACUGACUGAUGAUGACACAUGGUUUGGAGUCCCUGGGUGGCAAGGAGCCCACUUGGUACAGGAUAGAAGUAGCUGAGAGGACCAGAUGGUUUCUAAUAAUUCUUUACUCUGUUUUCCAUGACCAAAGUUUUAUCCUACAUCUUACAUGUCAAUAACAAUAAAGUUUUGAUAAGUGACACCCUUGGGGGGAACAAAAGCAUACAACAAAGGCAUAUAUAACUUGUUAUUAGUAAUAAACUUUUUAUUAUUUUCAUGAAAUGCUAUGACUGCUGAAAUAAAGGAUAAUGAGUGACACCCUAGCGGGAGUCAAAAGGGGGACCUAAAUUUCACACUAUUUUCUUUUGUUCUGUUUUUGAAUGAGCUGUUCUCUUUUGACAUGAAGGUAGUUUACACUUUGUAACUGUUAUAUGAUUCAUUGCUGAGUUUUUGUUCACACCCUUGGGGUUAUUUUACAUUAUAACCAUUACCAUAUAUAUGAUUGAAUAUUAUCUGCUGUUGCCUUGUGUGGAUGUAUGUAUGUGUUAUGCUACCUAGCUGAUUUGAAACAUUCUUAAAAGUAUCAGGGCCAUGGAACUUUCUCAUGCUGAAAAAAUACAGAAGGGAGGGCACAUUCAGAGCGUGGGGUUGCGAGAACAAGCGGUCUUUUUGGUUAGAUAACAGGAGCCAGGUGCGAGAUAACGGUAUGGAGCAUGAGACCCAUCUUUCAGUUUUUGCAGCAAUUUUAGGAGGAGGAUCCAGUUGCUUUUAUUGAUUAAGCUUCUCCAUUGUAUGUCGUGUCCCAUCUGGGAUGGGAAGAGGGGGAAAUUAUUUUUCUUUGUGGGCCAUUUCCGGAUAGACAUACCUAGUUUAGGAUAUUUUUCCUUUUUGGAUUAUGUCUUCGUUUUUGCUUGGAGUAAUGUAUCUGGACUAUAUCACAUCUCUUAGGAGAUGUGAAGAGAGGGUAUCAGAAACUUUUUCCUGCUGGAAAAAGUGGGCUAAUGUGGACAAUCAUUUUACUUUUAUUUUGAGCUGUUCUCCGCUCUGUUAAAUGAGGGUUGUAGUUCCUAGGUGGCUGGUAGCCAACUUAGUACAUAGUGGGAUUGAAUGGAGAACAUGAUGGUAAUACAUAAAUAUCUAUUUCUGUUUAAUACCGUGCCUUAUUUCAUAGUCCUUAUGGGAGAAGUUUCUCUUUGUGUCUGGAUCCAGUUAGGUUGUGUCACGUCUCUGGUGAGACGUGAAGAGAGGGUUUUGUAAGGAAUUGCUAUUUCGUAUGCAGGUGACUAAUUUACUGCUAAUUACAUGGCUACAACUCACAGUAAAGCCUGUGGGGUCCCCUACAGGAUAGCUCCCACAUUACACACAAUCUCCUUUUAAUUUUAACCGAACACUGUGUGCCCGAAGAAGAUCCUACGAUGAUGGACAGACAACUGAGCCAAUGGCGGAAGACUACAGACUACAACCAGCUGAACCAAUCCGGAGAUCCGAUCUUCCUAGGGUCAACCUACUUUCUGUGACGUGUAUAAGAGCUGUGCGGACUGUUUACGCUCUCUGCCUGCUGUUCCAACACGAACUAACGGAAGAGCCGUAUUUACGUGUACCAGAUAUUUUCACUCUGAAUAAACUGUUUACUUGUCAUAAAAUUUA